CAAGUCGAACGAUGAACCUCCUUCGGGAGGGGAUUAGUGGCGAACGGGUGAGUAACACGUGGGCAAUCUGCCCUGCACUCUGGGACAAGCCCUGGAAACGGGGUCUAAUACCGGAUACUGAUCAUCUUGGGCAUCCUUGGUGAUCGAAAGCUCCGGCGGUGCAGGAUGAGCCCGCGGCCUAUCAGCUUGUUGGUGAGGUAAUGGCUCACCAAGGCGACGACGGGUAGCCGGCCUGAGAGGGCGACCGGCCACACUGGGACUGAGACACGGCCCAGACUCCUACGGGAGGCAGCAGUGGGGAAUAUUGCACAAUGGGCGAAAGCCUGAUGCAGCGACGCCGCGUGAGGGAUGACGGCCUUCGGGUUGUAAACCUCUUUCAGCAGGGAAGAAGCGAAAGUGACGGUACCUGCAGAAGAAGCGCCGGCUAACUACGUGCCAGCAGCCGCGGUAAUACGUAGGGCGCGAGCGUUGUCCGGAAUUAUUGGGCGUAAAGAGCUCGUAGGCGGCUUGUCGCGUCGGUUGUGAAAGCCCGGGGCUUAACCCCGGGUCUGCAGUCGAUACGGGCAGGCUAGAGUUCGGUAGGGGAGAUCGGAAUUCCUGGUGUAGCGGUGAAAUGCGCAGAUAUCAGGAGGAACACCGGUGGCGAAGGCGGAUCUCUGGGCCGAUACUGACGCUGAGGAGCGAAAGCGUGGGGAGCGAA
rnacentral:rRNA from 1 species